rnacentral:rRNA from 1 species
GACGAACGCUGGCGGCGCGCUUAACACAUGCAAGUCGAACGGAAAGGCCUGCUUUCCCUUGUGGAUUGCGGGUACUCGAGUGGCGAACGGGUGAGUAACACGUGAGUGAUCUGCCCCCAACUUGGGUAUAAGCCUGGGAAACUGGGUCUAAUUCCCGAUAGGACUGCAGGGUGGUGCCUGUGGUGGGAAACGAUUUUCUAGUGGUUGGGGAUGAGCUCGCGGCCUAUCAGCUUGUUGGUGGGGUAAUGGCCUACCAAGGCGGCGACGGGUAGCCGGCCUGAGAGGGUGGACGGCCACAUUGGGACUGAGAUACGGCCCAGACUCCUACGGGAGGCAGCAGUGGGGAAUAUUGCACAAUGGGCGGAAGCCUGAUGCAGCGACGCCGCGUGGGGGAUGACGGCCUUCGGGUUGUAAACUCCUUUCGACCGCGAGGAAGCCACCUGGUUGGAAGGGUGGUGACGGUAGUGGUAGAAGAAGCACCGGCUAACUACGUG